rnacentral:rRNA from 1 species
UUUUAAUAGAGUUUGAUUCUGGCUCAGGACGAACGCUGGCGGCGUGCUUAAGACAUGCAAGUCGAACGGGGUAGCAAUACCUAGUGGCGGACGAGUGAGUAACGCGUGAGCAACGUACCUUUAUCUGGGGAAUAACAGUCUGAAAAGAUUGCUAAUACCGCAUAUGCACACAGGGUGACAUCACCCAGGGUGGAAAGAUUUAUCGGAUAAAGAGCGGCUCGCGUAUCAUUAGGUAGUUGGUGAGGUAACGGCUCACCAAGCCUACGAUGAUUAGGGGCCCUGAGAGGGGAAUCCCCCACGUUGGAACUGAGAUACGGUCCAAACUCCUACGGGAGGCAGCAGUCGGGAAUAUUGGUCAAUGGAGGCAACUCUGAACCAGCAACGCCGCGUGAAUGAAGAAGGUUUUCGGAUUGUAAAGUUCUUUUAUUGGGGAAGAAAAAAAUGACGGUACCCAAUGAAUAAGCCCCGGCUAACUUCGUGCCAGCAGCCGCGGU